rnacentral:rRNA from 1 species
CCCUUAGAUGUCCGGGGCCGCACGCGCGCUACACUGACGAAGUCAGCGAGCAUGUCCUACGCCGACAGGUGCGGGGAAUCUUGUCAAACUUCGUCGUGAUGGGGAUUGAUUAUUGAAAUUCUUGAUCAUCAACGAGGAAUUCCUAGUAAGCGCAAGUCAGCAGCUUGCGUUGAUUACGUCCCUGCCCUUUGUACACACCGCCCGUCGCUACUACCGAUUGAAUGGUUUAGUGAGAUCUUCGGAUUGGCGCCACUGCGGCUCAGCAAUGGGCUCGGUGGAUGCCGAAAAGUUGAUCAAACUUGAUCAUUUAGAGGAAGUAAAAGUCGUAACA